rnacentral:misc_RNA from 1 species
GAUGAAGAACGUAGCGAAACGCGAAAGGUAAUGCGAAUUGCAGAAUUCAGUGAAUCAUCGAAUCUUUGAACGCACAUUGCGCCCCUUGGUAUUCCAUGGGGCAUGCCUGUUCGAGCGUCAUUUGUACCUUCAAGCUCUGCUUGGUGUUGGGUGUUUGUCUCGCCUCUGCGUGUAGACUCGCCUCAAAACAAUUGGCAGCCGGCGUAUUGAUUUCGGAGCGCAGUACAUCUCGCGCUUUGCACUCAUAACGACGACGUCCAAAAGUACAUUUUUACACUCUUGACCUCGGAUCAGGUAGGGAUACCCGCUGAACUUAAGCAUAUCAAUAAGCGGAGGA